rfam:Rhizophagus irregularis DAOM 181602 strain DAOM 197198 GLOINscaffold_15276_Cont15232, whole genome shotgun sequence.
GCCCGGUUAGUUUAGUUGGUUAGAACGCCACAUCUUUUCAUUGUUUGAAUCGUGGAAACGCGGGUUCAAUUCCUGCACUGGGCC